UAACGCGAAGAACCUUACCAGGUCUUGACAUCUUUUGAUAGCCUAAGAGAUUAGGUGUUCCCUUCGGGGACAGAAUGACAGGUGGUGCAUGGUUGUCGUCAGCUCGUGUCGUGAGAUGUUGGGUUAAGUCCCGCAACGAGCGCAACCCUUAUUGUCAGUUGCCAGCAUUAAGUUGGGCACUCUGGCAAGACUGCCGGUGACAAACCGGAGGAAGGUGGGGAUGACGUCAAAUCAUCAUGCCCCUUAUGACCUGGGCUACACACGUGCUACAAUGGACGAUACAACGAGUCGCUAGACCGCGAGGUUAAGCUAAUCUCUGAAAGUCGUUCUCAGUUCGGAUUGCAGGCUGCAACUCGCCUGCAUGAAGUCGGAAUCGCUAGUAAUCGCGGAUCAUC
rnacentral:rRNA from 1 species